rnacentral:rRNA from 1 species
UAUGUGAUCGUCUCUCGCAUAUCAAUAAGCGGAGGAAAAGAAACUAACAAGGAUUCCCCUAGUAACGGCGAGUGAAGCGGGAAGAGCUCAAAUUUGAAAUCUUAAAGGGUUUCCCUUUACGAAUUGUAGUUUAAAGAAGUGUUUUCUGUUGAGGUUUUGGUAAAAGUUCUUUGGAAUAGGACAUCAUAGAGGGUGAGAAUCCCGUAUUUGACCUUUACUUUCAACUUUGUGAUACACUUUCAAAGAGUCGGAUUGUUUGGGAAUGCAGUCCAAAAUGGGUGGUAAAUUUCAUCUAAAGCCUAAAUAUUGGCGAGAGACCGAUAGCGAACAAGUACCGUGAGGGAAAGAUGAAAAGAACUUUGAAAAGAGAGUUAAACAGUACGUGAAAUUGUCAAAAGGGAAGCGUUUGGACACCAGUGUUGUUUUUCUGAAAAUCAAUUAAAGAACUGUUUAUGCUAAGCUGUUUAGACUUUAUCAGCUAACUGUUUAGUUUUGAGCUUUUCUUUAAUGCACUUUUCAGUUAACAAGUCAACAUCAAUUUCUUUUGCUGUAAAAAAGCUUGAGGAAGGUGGCUUGAGAUUCGUCUUAAGUGUUUAUAGCCUCUUGCCUAUGCAGUCGGAGAGAUUGAGGUCUGCAGCGUAGAUCCUUCGGGGCUAAAUGCAUUUGUGCUAAGUUAUAGCAUUUUAUAGACAACUUUGUUGACUAUGAUUUGUCUUGUAGCUUACUCGCUUAUGUUAUUUUACCUACGCUUAGGAUGUUGAAGAUAUGCGCGACACG